rnacentral:rRNA from 1 species
ACGAACGCUGGCGGCGUGCUUAACACAUGCAAGUCGAACGGAAAGGCCCUGCUUUUGUGGGGUGCUCGAGUGGCGAACGGGUGAGUAACACGUGAGUAACCUGCCCUUGACUUUGGGAUAACUUCAGGAAACUGGGGCUAAUACCGGAUAGGAGCUCCUGCUGCAUGGUGGGGGGUGGAAAGUUUCGGCGGUUGGGGAUGGACUCGCGGCUUAUCAGCUUGUUGGUGGGGUAGUGGCUUACCAAGGCUUUGACGGGUAGCCGGCCUGAGAGGGUGACCGGCCACAUUGGGACUGAGAUACGGCCCAGACUCCUACGGGAGGCAGCAGUGGGGAAUAUUGCACAAUGGGCGGAAGCCUGAUGCAGCAACGCCGCGUGCGGGAUGACGGCCUUCGGGUUGUAAACCGCUUUCGCCUGUGACGAAGCGUGAGUGACGGUAAUGGGUAAAGAAGCACCGGCUAACUACAUG